UUGAUUUGCAUGCAGUUUUUUCUCUUUGGUAGCAGAUUCCCAUCCUUUUGAUAGUAGAUAGUCACUGGAAGCAGCCAAGAGUCACCAGAUUUUGGUCAAGUGUAGUGAUUAAAGUGAGAGAUCAAGUAGGCAAUACUAGUUUUGGUUGAAAGCCUCUGACUAUAGGGCAACGUGAAUGGUUUUCACAUGUGACUCAAAGUGGCUCUAAAGGCAAUAACAACAGGAAUUCCAAAACCAUUGUGGGCAAUUGGUUCAUCACCAAACCAAGCAUAUUACUUCCAAAAGAGUGAACUAUGAAGGCGACAAACAGAGCUAGGUGAUAAUGCUUUCUCAGGAUUCAUAAUGUUACACACAUAUCUCACUCAUACACAGAAAUUCUGAAUGGUUGAGUCAAUCAAUUCAUUUAAUUAAAGUAGAUUAAAGUUUAGGCUUACCUAAAACUUUAAUAUUUGCAAUAUUUUUUCAGUAUGACAUUCUCAUAAAAACGUAUUCACCACUCGAAUGGUACUUCACAUACAUUAUCUUUUUAAUGUUCACACUACUACCACAAAUAUAAGUAUUAUUCUCCGCAUGUUAUAAAUGAGAAAAUGGAGACUCAGAGAAAAUGUGAUUUGCACAAGGCAACAACAUCUGAUAAAAGGUAGAACCAAGAUGCCAAUACAGAUCUGUUUUGCUUCAAACACCACGUUCUUUUUAUUCUCUAACCCUGCCAUGUAGCACCUUUGAAUAAUUCUUAAAUGUAUCAUUACAGGGUUGUUCAAUUUUUAGCUGCAAUGCUUAAUAUUUCUUAAUGACUCUAUUAUUACCAGUGAAGAACAUUCAAGCCAAUUCACUGAC
rnacentral:lncRNA from 10 species